UGCGGGGUGAAGCAGGAGCGUAAGCACCUGUGGACUGCAUACAAGUACGGAUGCAGGCAUAAGUAGCGCGAAGACGGGUGCGAAUCCCGUCCACCGAAAGCCUAAGGUUUCCGCAGUACAGUUCGUCUGCUGCGGGUCAGUCGGUCCUAAGGCGAGGCCAAUGGGCGUAGUCGAUGGCUGUCAGGUUUAUAUUCCUGAACCGGGCGUAAAGGUUAAACUAGCAGGGACACUUUGGAAAAACCUCCCUAGGUUGUUGGUCUG
rnacentral:rRNA from 1 species